GAAAUGCGAUAAGUAGUGUGAAUUGCAGAAUUCAGUGAAUCAUCGAAUCUUUGAACGCACAUUGCGCCCUUUGGUAUUCCAAAGGGCAUGCCUGUUCGAGCGUCAUUUGUACCCUCAAGCUUUGCUAGGUGUUGGGCGUCUUGUCUCUAGCUUUGCUGGAGACUCGCCUUAAAGUAAUUGGCAGCCGGCCUACUGGUUUCGGAGCGCAGCACAAGUCGCACUCUCUAUCAGCAAAGGUCUAGCAUCCAUUAAGCCUUUUUUCAACUUUUGACCUCGGAUCAGGUAGGGAUACCCGCUGAACUUAAGC
rnacentral:misc_RNA from 1 species